UUUGUGCAGUUGAGGAAAAGGUGGCCCAUC
rnacentral:piRNA from 1 species